AUGGCAUCUUUGCAAUUUUAGCGUCUUUCUUUUUGCAAUAAUAAUUGUAUCAUUAAUUGUUGAAUGAAACUUUAGAAGGAUCGGAUUUUUCAUUCUCAUUUCUAACUGGGAAAAAAAGAACAAACGCACCAGCAGCAACUCUUCUCUUCAUCUUCUUAUCUUGGUAACAACUUUUAGCCAUGUCAGAAAUCUGGGACUCAUGGUCGGUGGGUUUUUGGAUCAACUCCAGCAGGUACAUGUGUUAAAAUUUAACACACUGGCGCAUGUCUCGAUCCUAAUUUUGUUGGAGCAAUUUGAAAAUGGAACUCUUAUGGAGAAGGUGCGUAUGAAAAAGUCGAUAGGAAUGUCAUUUGUACGGUUAACAUACGGAAUGUGAUUUGAAGAUGGGAGCAAAAUUCAUUGUUCUUAAAUUCACAGAUUGUGAAAUUGUAUUAUAUACUCGAACGUAUUAUGUAGUCUUCUAUGUUAUACUCUAUAAAAAUUAGAACUGUGCUUAUGUGUGUGUGGUAUUAUGGUUAUUCUGAAACAUUAAUUGCUGUUUAGGUUUAGAAUUCAAUAUAUGUCCUCGGUGGAUGCAA